UGGGGAAUAUUGGACAAUGGGCGCAAGCCUGAUCCAGCCAUGCCGCGUGAGUGAUGAAGGCCUUAGGGUUGUAAAGCUCUUUUGUCCGGGAAGAUAAUGACUGUACCGGAAGAAUAAGCCUCGGCUAACUUCGUGCCAGCAGCCGCGGUAAUACGAAGGGGGCUAGCGUUGCUCGGAAUCACUGGGCGUAAAGGGCGCGUAGGCGGACUCUUAAGUCGGGGGUGAAAGCCCAGGGCUCAACCCUGGAAUUGCCUUCGAUACUGAGGGUCUUGAGUUCGGAAGAGGUUGGUGGAACUGCGAGUGUAGAGGUGAAAUUCGUAGAUAUUCGCAAGAACACCAGUGGCGAAGGCGGCCAACUGGACCGAUACUGACGCUGAGGCGCGAAAGCGAUGGGAGCAAACAGG
rnacentral:rRNA from 1 species